GGAGAAUUUAACAAAGUGUCUUCAUUCAGUAGGGGGCCAAACUAAAUACUCGGUGCAGCAACCCUCGCCUGGGUCAGGUCAAUCGGCUGCCAGCCGGAUUGGCCGGCGUAUCAUUCCAGAAUGUACUGUUUGUUCUGUGGGGUUUAGGAGUUCUACAGUGGUUCUGCCCCAUCUUUCUAAAAAUACAAUACAGUGUUUCACUAUGUUACCCAGGCUGGUCUUGAACUCCUGGGCUCAAGUGAUCCUCCCACUUUGGCCUCUCAAAGCACUGGGAUUACAGGGUCUUACUCUGUCGCCCAGGCUGGAGUACAGUGGUGUGAUAUCGGCUCACUGCAACCUCUACCUACCUGGUUCAAGUGAUUCUCCUGCCUCAGCCUCCCGAGUAGCUGGGACUACGGGGUCACCAAGGAAGCCAGAGUGGAGGCUGCAGGGAAUAUGGAUUUAAAUGAAUUUUGGCUGUACCAUCAAGCAGUCUGAUCACUGAGGAAAUAUCAAAAGCUUCACCCGAGUGACUCAUCACCCAAAUUCAACAGAGACUUGCCAAAGAAGCUGCUUAUUUCACAGAAGGAUGGUGCUGGCUGAAAGAUACUUCCUUGAAACUGAGAGAUUGCUUCCUUAGACAGGUCUCCUUGAAGAGAAUCCCACUCUGUCAGCCCGGCUGGAGUGCAAUGGCGCAGUCUUGGCUCGCUGCAACAUCUACCUCCCAGGUUCAAGUGAUUCUCCUGCCUCAGCCUCCCAAGUAGCUAGGAUUACAGGCUUGCACCACCACACCUGGCUAACUUUUUGUGUUUUUAGUAGAGACGGGCUUUCCCUAUGUUGGCCAGACUGGUCUCAAACUACUGGCCUCAAGUGAUUUACCCACCUUGGCCUCCCAAAUUUCUGGGAUUACAGGCAUGAGCCACCGAGCGCAGUCCUGACUCUGCUCUUGGGAUACCUGAGAGUACUGUGUUAUAUGAAUAUCUGAUCUACCUAUGGAUUCAGCCGACCUAAAGUUGUUGAAUUCUUAAGCCACCACCCCCUUCUCACCAGCACAAGAUUUACUUUCAGAUCAUCAGUGCGUUAAUUGAACAAAUGGCAAAGAUCUUGCCAAAAUCUGAGAAGAUGUCCUCUGACGUUGCGCUUCUUGCCGCUGCCAUGAGAAGAAGGAUGUUUGCUUCCCCCUCUGCCAUGAUUGUUAAGUUUCCUGAGGCCUCCUGAGCCAUGCUGAACUGUGAGUCAAUUAAACCAUUUUCCUUUAUAAAUUACCCAGUCCUGGGUAUAUCUUUAUUAGCAGUGUGAGAAGGGACUAAUAAGGAACCUGCAGUGGAC
rnacentral:lncRNA from 10 species